rnacentral:lncRNA from 1 species
ACAGUGGAUGCACGAUCUUCUGUCAAGAGAAACAAAGGAAAAUUUGCUUCACUAACGUAUGAGUCAUCCAAUGUGAGGUGUGUACAAUAUAAAUGGAGUUGUAUUUUUGAAAAGAGUAUAAGAAGUAACACACAUGCUCAGUUGAAGUUAGUGUUGGGAAAAAGAUAGUACAAGUGAUCUUUAUCUUCCACUUUCAUAUUGCAUGCUUUGUACUUGCAUAUUUAAGAAUUAAUAUGAUUAAGGCAUUUCAUUCUACUAUCCAAACAUUGUGUCAUCCUUUGCUUAUCCUUUUUGAGCCUAAUCCUAUUUUCCUUUGUACCCAUCUUUUGGAAUCAAGUUGGAGACAGUAAAACAAAAAAAAAAGUGAAAAAGAAAAAGAAAAAAUGUGUCGAGAAAAGAAUAGAGUAAUGAAAAAUUCAAAAAAAAUAAUGAGUCAAGAAAGAAAAUAGAAGUGUCAAAAAAAAUAGAAUCAUAAAAAGUCCCAAAGAAAAAAAAAGAUGA